rnacentral:tRNA from 1 species
CUAGAGAAUGUAUCUAGUUUUAUAAAUAAGAAAAUUUUCAAUUACUCUUUGCUGUUAGUCCAAAUAAUACCAUGUAAUACUGUUAAGUAUAAUUAAUAGUAUUAAUUUAAGAAAAGAGUGUCUCGUAGCUCAGCUGGUUAGAGUACUACACUGAUAAUGUAGGGGUCGACAGUUCGAGUCUGUCCGAGACAACUAUUUUAGACUUAAAAUAAGGAAAUUUUAGAAGUAUGAGUAUGAAUUACCAUUAAUUCAAAAUUCAACAUUCAUAAUUUAAAAUUAGAAAUGGGGGAUUAGCUCAGCUGGCUAGAGCGCCUGCCUUGCACGCAGGAGGUCAACGGUUCGACUCCGUUAUUCUCCACAAAUUCGAAAGAAUUAAAGUUCAUUGACAUAUUGAGAUAAGAAAUAAUAAAAAGUAGAAAGCGUUUUUUACUAUUUAUAGUAAAAGACAAAAAAAAACGGUCAUAAUUAAUUUUAUGAUUGGUA